UACAGAGGUGGCAAGCGUUGUUCGGAAUUACUGGGCGUAAAGGGCGUGUAGGCGGUCUUGUAAGUCUUGUGUGAAAUCCCUCGGCUUAACUGAGGAACUGCACGGGAUACUGCGAGACUUGAGAUCGGGGGAGGGAAGCGGAAUUCCGGGUGUAGCGGUGAAAUGCGUAGAUAUCCGGAGGAACACCGGUGGCGAAGGCGGCUUCCUGGACCGACACUGACGCUGAGGCGCGAAAGCUAGGGGAGCAAACGGG
rnacentral:rRNA from 1 species